AUCCACUCUACUGGAGUUUCCUGAGCAAGCCCACGACACGGCACAGGUGCAUACUUCAUCCAACAAUCUGUCUAAAUUGGAUUUCAAGUGGAUUAUCAUGCCCAAGGGAUGUGUAAAUUGUUACGUGGAUCAGCUGGUUACGUCUCAAAGGUGAACCAAGAACUGCAAAUGCCUCUUACCCUCUCCUGUCCUAGGUACUUCGUGGCAGCAGGUAUAAAUUUUCUUUAGGCUCUACAG